AAAAUAACUUGUUAGGAGAGGCUCCUAAAUGAACACAGGCUAUUGCCCAAAAACGUCCAGAGACGCCAAUGGGUAGAACAGGCAUGAUCGGAUUAAGGUCUGCUUAAGAUAGCUGAUUCAAUUACUUGGAUCUACGUCAUUUAGUGCUAAAACCCACACGAGGAGUUUAUAGU
rfam:Clostridium aceticum strain DSM 1496, complete genome.